rnacentral:rRNA from 1 species
UACGUAGGGUGCGAGCGUUAAUCGGAAUUACUGGGCGUAAAGCGUGCGCAGGCGGCUUUGCAAGACAGAUGUGAAAUCCCCGGGCUUAACCUGGGAACUGCAUUUGUGACUGCAUGGCUGGAGUGCGGCAGAGGGGGAUGGAAUUCCGCGUGUAGCAGUGAAAUGCGUAGAUAUGCGGAGGAACACCGAUGGCGAAGGUAAUCCCCUGGGCCUGCACUGACGCUCAUGCACGAAAGCGUGGGGAGCAAACAGG